GCGCCAAUUCUGUUGGUGCAGAAUUCUGUCAAAGUUGGAGAAGCUGGAGCUGGGAUGACUGCGGCCGCCGUUGGGACCUACAAAGAAAGUCUAAACCAGAGUUGGGGGUGCUCCGGCAAGACCCUCCAACACUUAAGUCAGUACUCUGCUUCAACAGAAAUGGAGUGCUCGAGUGAAAAUUUUGGCAGAGUUUUGAGAUAGAGUUUAGAGCUUAGAAAAAAACGUAUCUGAGGAUCCUUAUUUAUAGAUGGAGAGGGCACCCGGUUGACAGCGACGCCUAUAAUUGCCUGACAGUGGGCUAUUUAGAGCCGCCUGGAGUUUGUUACGGAGAGUAGUGGCACCAG
rnacentral:lncRNA from 1 species